AGUGAACGCUGGCGGUAGGCCUAACACAUGCCAGUCGAACGGCAGCACAGUAAGAGCUUGCUCUUACGGGUGGCGAGUGGCGGACGGGUGAGGAAUACAUCGGAAUCUACUUUUUCGUGGGGGAUAACGUAGGGAAACUUACGCUAAUACCGCAUACGACCUACGGGUGAAAGCAGGGGAUCUUCGGACCUUGCGCGAUUGAAUGAGCCGAUGUCGGAUUAGCUAGUUGGCGGGGUAAAGGCCCACCAAGGCGACGAUCCGUAGCUGGUCUGAGAGGAUGAUCAGCCACACUGGAACUGAGACACGGUCCAGACUCCUACGGGAGGCAGCAGUGGGGAAUAUUGGACAAUGGGCGCAAGCCUGAUCCAGCCAUACCGCGUGGGUGAAGAAGGCCUGCGGGUUGUAAAACCCUUUUGUUGGGAAAGAAAAGCAGCAGGUUAAUACCCCGCUGUUCUGACGGUACCCAAAGAAUAAGCACCGGCUAACUUCGU
rnacentral:rRNA from 1 species